rnacentral:sRNA from 1 species
CUGCGGAAGGACAUUAUUGAAAUGUUUUGAAGGGGACUGUUGCUGGCCUUGUAACAAAGGCAUGUGCACGUUUCCUUUCAAUCUAUUCAUCCACCUGUGCACCUUUCUGUAGAAGCUUUUUCAGGUCGUUGUUAGGGGCUGUACUUCAGUGCAGCUCUGUUGAUGAUUCUGGGCUUCUAUGUCUUACAAACUCUAAUGAAAUGUAAUUGAAUGUCUCUUUAUUGGUACUUAAUUGGACCUUUAAAACUUAUACAACUUUCAGCAACGGAUCUCUUGGCUCUCGCAUCGAUGAAGAACGCAGCGAAAUGCGAUAAGUAAUGUGAAUUGCAGAAUUCAGUGAAUCAUCGAAUCUUUGAACGCACCUUGCGCCCCUUGGUAUUCCGAGGGGCAUGCCUGUUUGAGUGUCAUUAAAUUCUCAACUUCAAAAGUUUUUGCUUCUGAAGCUUGGACUGUGGAGGCUUGCUGGCAUCACUAGAUGUUCUCAGCUCCUCUCAAAUGCAUUAGCGGAAACCGGAUUAGUCGGACCUAAGCCUUGGUGUGAUAAUUAUCUACGCCUUGGUGGUUUGACAAGGCUCUUUGGUUGGGAUAGCUGCAACUCAUGUUGCUCUGUCUGCUUUCGUUUCUUAGAGCUGUGUAGGUGUCUGCUCUCGAAUCCUCCGUUUUCGAAGACAAACAAAAAUUAACUUGGUUGAGGUCAACUCACGUACGACUUCGCACUAACCUUAACUUCACUAAUUGGACCAAGAAAGG